CAGCACCUCAAGUGGUCAGGAUGAUUAUUGGGCCUAAAGCAUCCGUAGCCGGCGCUGUAAGUUUUCUGUUAAAUCUGUACGCUCAACGUACAGGCUGCCGGGAAUACUGCAGCGCUAGGGAGUGGGAGAGGUAGACGGUACUCGGUAGGAAGGGGUAAAAUCCUUUGAUCUAUUGAUGACCACCUGUGGCGAAGGCGGUCUACCAGAACACGUCCGACGGUGAGGGAUGAAAGCUGGGGGAGCAAACCGGAUUAGAUACCCGAGUAGUCC
rnacentral:rRNA from 1 species